rnacentral:rRNA from 1 species
UACGUAGGGUGCGAGCGUUAUUCGGAAUUACUGGGCGUAAAGCGUGCGCAGGCGGUCCGCCAAGUCUGAUGUGAAAGCCCCGGGCUCAACCUGGGAACUGCAUUGGAAACUAACGGGCUCGAGUGUGGCAGAGGGGGGUGGAAUUCCACGUGUAGCAGUGAAAUGCGUAGAGAUGUGGAGGAACACCGAUGGCGAAGGCAGCCCCCUGGGCUAACACUGACGCUCAGGCACGAAAGCGUGGGGAGCAAACAGG